rnacentral:rRNA from 1 species
UACGUAGGGUGCGAGCGUUUAAUCGGAAUUACUGGGCGUAAAGCGUGCGCAGGCGGCUUCGCAAGUCAGGCGUGAAAUCCCCGGGCUUAACCUGGGAACUGCGCUUGUAACUAGCGGGGCUAGAGUGCGGCAGAGGGGGGGUGGAAUUCCACGUGUAGCAGUGAAAUGCGUAGAUAUGUGGAGGAACACCGAUGGCGAAGGCAGCCCCCUGGGUCGACACUGACGCUCAUGCACAAAAGCGUGGGGAGCAAACAGG